GCCUGGGGCAGGACGGGACAGCCGGGGGCAGAACGGGGGCAGAACGGGGGCAGAACGGGGGCCCAGGACAUCCUGUACACACAGAGCUGGGGCUCACGCGCACGCUAAGGUGUGUUAAAGCGCAGCUCCCUGAAAGGCACACGAUGGUCCGACGCCCAUGUGACCCACAUCUCUCUCCCUCUCCUUCGCCAAACAGGAGAUUUCCAGAGAGGCUGAAGUCAAAACAACAUGUGUUGUGGAUGUGGGAACAGCUGAGGACUCGAGACGAGUUGGAAAAAGAGGUUUUCCAAUGGGAACGCGGGGAAUGUCGGGCGCCAAAACCACGCACCUCUACACCACCAGCACUUUCCCCACUUCAGAUGAAUAAAUACAAGAAGGUCAAAGGUCACAAUUUCACGCUGCUUUCAAACAAACUCUCCACAGCACGCUUCCCCGGAGGAGGGUUAGCGCUGACGCUGCCGGGGGAGAGGAGAAGGUGGCCUCAUCCAACGUCACGCCGAUCCCAUUCCCGGGUCGGGCCGGAAGAGUCGCCCCGAACGGCUCUGGGCAAAAGCGCGCGUCAGUUCCACAGUCAGAACGCUGUGCACGUGGAUCCGGUUUGGGAUCCGGUUUGGGAUCCGGGUUGGGAUCUGGGUUGGGAUCCGGUUUGGG